AGAAUUUGAUCUUGGUUCAGAUCUAACGCUGGCGGCAUGCCUAAUACAUGCAAGUCACACGGCUAGGGGCAACUCUAGAUAGUGGCGAACGGGUCAGUAACACUUGGAUAAUUUACCUCAAACUUUUGGAAUAACCCCGAGAAAUUGGGAUUAAUACCGGAUGUGGUUUAUGAGAGACAUCUUUUAUAAAUUAAAGCAGGGGAUCGAAAGACCUUGCGGUUAGAGAGAAGUCCAUGGCUUAUCAGCUUGUUGGUGAGGUAAGAGCUCACCAAGGCUAUGACGAGUAGGCGGUCUGAGAGGACGUACGCCGACACUGGGACUGAGACACUGCCCAGACUCCUACGGGAGGCAGCAGUAGGGAAUAUUGCUCAAUGGGCGCAAGCCUGAAGCAGCAAUGCCGCGUGAAGGAUGAAGGUCUUCGGAUUGUAAACUUCUUUUGUCAGGGAUGAAGAGAUUCCAUUUAAUACGUGGGAAAUUUGACAGUACCUGAAGAAUAACCACCGGCUAACUCCGUGCCAGCAGCUGCGGUAAUACGGAGGGUGGAAGCGUUGAUCGGAUUGACUGGGCGUAAAGGGAGCGUAGGCGGCUUGACAAGUCGGGAGUGAAAUUUCGGGGCUUAACCCCGAAACUGCUUUCGAAACUGUCGAACUAGAGGAUAUUAAGGGAAAGCGGAAUACCACAUGUAGCGGUGAGAUGCGUAGAUAUGUGGUAGAACACCGGUGGUGAAGACGGCUUUCUGUGAUAUUACUGACGCUGAGGCUCGAAAGCAUGGGGAUCAAACAGGAUUAGAUACCCUGGUAGUCCAUGCCGUAAACGAUGUAUACUAGAGGUAGGAGGCUUCAACCCCUUCUGUCUCGGAGCUAACGCGAUAAGUAUACCGCCUGGGGAGUACGCUCGCAAGGGUGAAACUCAAAAUAAUUGACGGGGGCCCGCACAAGCAGUGGAGCAUGUGGUUUAAUUCGAUCCACGCGAAGAACCUUACCUGGGCUCGAAAUGUAGAGGAAGUUGCAAGAAAUUGCAACGUCCGCAAGGACUUCUAUAUAGGUGCUGCAUGGCUGUCGUCAGCUCGUGCCGUGAGGUGUUUGGAUAAGUCCAGCAACGAGCGCAACCCUUAUCGUUAUUUACCAGCACGUAAUGGUGGGAACUAUAGCGAGACUGCCGAGGUUAACUCGGAGGAAGGUGAGGAUGACGUCAAGUCCGCAUGGCCUUUAUGUCCAGGGCUACACACGUGCUACAAUGGUCGAUACAGAGGGCAGCAAAACCGCGAGGUCAAGCUAAUCCCAGAAAAUCGAUCUCAGUUCAGAUUGCAGUCUGCAACUCGACUGCAUGAAGUUGGAAUUGCUAGUAAUGGCGCGUCAGCAACAGCGCCGUGAAUACGUUCCCGGGCCUUGUACACACCGCCCGUCACAUCAUGGGAGAAGGUGGAGCCCGAAGUCGCUGAAUCAACCGCAAGGGGAAAGGCGCCUAAGGUUUUACUUUUGACUGGGAUGAAGUCGUAACAAGGUA
rnacentral:rRNA from 1 species